rnacentral:rRNA from 1 species
GAAUUUUGGACAAUGGGCGAAAGCCUGAUCCAGCAAUGCCGCGUGCAGGAUGAAGGCCUUCGGGUUGUAAACUGCUCUUGUACGGAACGAAAAACCUUGGGGUAAUACCACGGCGUCAUGACGGUACUGUAAGAAUAAGCACCGGUCAACUACGUGCCAGCCGCCGCGGUAAUACGGAGGGUGCAAGCGUUAAUCGGAAUUACUGGGCGUAAAGCGUGCGCAGGCGGUUUUGUAAGACAGAGGUGAAAUCCCCGGGCUCAACCUGGGAACUGCCUUUGUGACUGCAAGGCUAGAGUACGGCAGAGGGGGGUGGAAUUCCGCGUGUAGCAGUGAAAUGCGUAGAUAUGCGGAGGAACACCGAUGGCGAAGGCAACCCCCUGGGCCUGUACUGACGCUCAUGCACGAAAGCGUGGGGAGCAAAC